rnacentral:rRNA from 1 species
UACAGAGGGUGCAAGCGUUGUUCGGAAUUAUUGGGCGUAAAGGGCGCGUAGGCGGUGCGGUAAGUCUGUAGUGAAAUCUCUGGGCUCAACUCAGAGUCUGCUGCAGAAACUGCCGUGCUUGAGUGUGGGAGAGGUGAGUGGAAUUCCCGGUGUAGCGGUGGAAUGCGUAGAUAUCGGGAGGAACACCUGUGGCGAAAGCGGCUCACUGGACCACAACUGACGCUGAAGCGCGAAAGCUAGGGGAGCAAACAGG